GAUGAACGCUAGCUACAGGCUUAACACAUGCAAGUCGAGGGGAAACGACAUCGAAAGCUUGCUUUUGAUGGGCGUCGACCGGCGCACGGGUGAGUAACGCGUAUCCAACCUGCCCAUCACUUGGGAAUAACCUUGCGAAAGUAAGACUAAUACCCAAUGAUAUCCAUAGAAGACAUCUGAAAUGGAUUAAAGAUUUAUCGGUGAUGGAUGGGGAUGCGUCUGAUUAGCUUGUUGGCGGGGUAACGGCCCACCAAGGCGACGAUCAGUAGGGGUUCUGAGAGGAAGGUCCCCCACAUUGGAACUGAGACACGGUCCAAACUCCUACGGGAGGCAGCAGUGAGGAAUAUUGGUCAAUGGACGAGAGUCUGAACCAGCCAAGUAGCGUGCAGGACGACGGCCCUAUGGGUUGUAAACUGCUUUUAUAAGGGAAUAAAGUGAGUCUCGUGAGACUUUUUGCAUGUACCUUAUGAAUAAGGACCGGCUAAUUCCGUG
rnacentral:rRNA from 1 species